rnacentral:rRNA from 1 species
CGGGUGAGUAACACGUAUCCAACCUGCCGUCUACUCUUGGACAGCCUUCUGAAAGGAAGAUUAAUACAAGAUGGCAUCAUGAGUCCACAUGUUCACAUGAUUAAAGGUAUUCCGGUAGACGAUGGGGAUGCGUUCCAUUAGAUAGUAGGCGGGGUAACGGCCCACCUAGUCUUCGAUGGAUAGGGGUUCUGAGAGGAAGGCCCCCCACAUUGGAACUGAGACACGGUCCAA